rnacentral:rRNA from 1 species
AUUAGAUACCCUAGGUAGUCCACGCAGUAAACGAUGAAUACUAACUGUCCGGGACGAUUGAGUCCUGGGUGGUACAGCGAAAGCGUUAAGUAUUCCACCUGGGGAGUACGCCGGCAACGGUGAAACUCAAAGGAAUUGACGGGGGCCCGCACAAGCGGAGGAACAUGUGGUUUAAUUCGAUGAUACGCGAGGAACCUUACCCGGGCUCAAACGACGGACGAAUGUUUUUGAAAGGAGGCAGCCCUUCGGGGCGUCCGUCGAGGUGCUGCAUGGUUGUCGUCAGCUCGUGCCGUGAGGUGUCGGCUUAAGUGCCAUAACGAGCGCAACCCCCAUCGCCAGUUACCAUCAAGUGAAGUUGGGGACUCUGGCGAGACUGCCGGCGCAAGCUGCGAGGAAGGCGGGGAUGACGUCAAAUCAGCACGGCCCUUACGUCCGGGGCGACACACGUGUUACAAUGGCAGGUACAGCGGGAAGCCAUGCGGCGACGCAGAGCAGAACCCGAAAACCUGUCUCAGUUCGGAUUGGAGUCUGCAACCCGACUCCAUGAAGCUGGAUUCGCUAGUAAUCGCGCAUCGGCCAUGGCGCGGUGAAUACGUUCCCGGGCCUUGUACACACCGCCCGUCAAGCCAUGGGAGCCGGGGGUACCUGAAGUCCGUAACCGAAAGGAUCGGCCUAGGGUAAAACUGGUGACUGGGGCUAAGUCGUAACAAGGUAAC